rnacentral:rRNA from 1 species
UACGAAGGGGGCUAGCGUUGCUCGGAAUCACUGGGCGUAAAGGGUGCGUAGGCGGGUCUUAAGUCAGGGGUGAAAUCCUGGAGCUCAACUCCAGAACUGCCUUUGAUACUGAGGAUCUUGAGUUCGGGAGAGGUGAGUGGAACUGCGAGUGUAGAGGUGAAAUUCGUAGAUAUUCGCAAGAACACCAGUGGCGAAGGCGGCUCACUGGCCCGAUACUGACGCUGAGGCACGAAAGCGUGGGGGAGCAAACAGG